AUGGCCGCCACUGUCGCCCCACCGGCGGCCCCGCCGCCCACCUCCGCCACCAUCCGCUCCCUCACCGCCGCGGGGAACCACGGCGCCGCCCUCCGAGCGCUCUCCUCCCUCUCGGCCUCCUCCGCCCAGCUCGACCACUUCGCGCUCCCGCCGGCCAUCAAGUCCGCGGCCGCGCUCCGGGACGGCCGGGCCGCGCGCGCGCUCCACGCGGCCGCCCUCCGCCGCGCGCUCAUCCACCGGCCCACCCCCGCCGUCGGCAACGCGCUCCUCACCGCCUACGCGCGCUGCGGCGACCUCGACGCGGCCCUCACGCUCUUCGCCGCCACGCCGCCGGAGCUCCGCGACGCCGUGUCCUACAACUCGCUCAUCUCCGCGCUCUGCCUGUUCCGGCAGUGGGAGCGCGCGCUCGACGCCCUCCGCGGCAUGCUCGCCGAGGCCCGCCACGACGUCAGCUCCUUCACCCUCGUCAGCGUGCUCCUCGCCUGCUCCCACCUCGCCGGCGACGACGGCCGCCGCCUCGGCCGCGAGGCCCACGCGUUCGCGCUCAAGCACGGCUUCCUCGACGAGGGCCGCGAGCGCUUCCCCUUCAACGCGCUGCUCUCCAUGUACGCGCGCCUCGGCCUCGUCGACGACGCGCAGUCGCUCUUCCGCACCACGGCGGCCGCGUUCUCCCCCGGCGGCGGCGACGUCGUGACGUGGAACACCAUGAUCAGCCUGCUCGUGCAGGGCGGCCGGUGCGCCGAGGCCGUGGAGGUGCUCUACGACAUGGUGGCCCUCGGCGUGCGGCCGGACGGCGUGACGUUCGCGAGCGCGCUCCCGGCUUGCUCGCGGCUGGAGAUGCUCGCCCUCGGCCGGGAGAUCCACGCCGUCGUCCUCAAGGAUGGCGACCUCGCCGCCAACUCGUUCGUGGCGAGUGCGCUGGUGGACAUGUACGCCGGCAACGAGCGGGUGGGCAACGCGCGGAGGGUGUUCGACAUGGUGCCGGAGCCGGGCCGGCAGCUGGGCAUGUGGAACGCCAUGAUCUGCGGCUACGCGCAGGCCGGCAUGGACGCGGAGGCGCUCCAGCUCUUCGCGCGGAUGGAGGCGGAGGCCGGGUGCGCGCCGAGCGAGACCACCAUGUCCGGCGUGCUCCCGGCGUGCGCGCGCUCCGAGGGGCUCGCCGGCAAGGAGGCCAUGCACGGGUACGUGGUGAAGCGCGGCAUGGCGGGCAACCGGUUCGUGCAGAACGCGCUCAUGGACAUGUACGCGCGCCUCGGCGAGAUGGACGUGGCGCGCCGGAUCUUCGCCAUGAUCGACCCCCGCGACAUCGUGUCCUGGAACACCCUCAUCACCGGGUGCGUCGUGCAAGGUCACGUCGCCGAGGCGUUCCAGCUCGUCACGGAGAUGCAGCUGCCAUCAUCAUCGUCAUCCACGGAAGAUGAGAGGUGCAUGCCGAACAACAUCACGCUGAUGACGCUGCUGCCGGGGUGCGCGGCGCAGGCGGCGCCGGCGAGGGGGAAGGAGAUCCACGGGUACGCGGUGAGGCACGCGCUGGAGUCGGACAUCGCCGUGGGCAGCGCGCUGGUGGACAUGUACGCCAAGUGCGGCUGCCUGGCGGCGUCGAGGGCGGUGUUCGACCGGCUGCCCAGGCGGAACGUCAUCACCUGGAACGUCCUCAUCAUGGCCUACGGGAUGCACGGGCUCGGCGGCGACGCGGUGGCGCUCUUCGACCAGAUGGCGGCGGGCGGCGAGGCGACGCCCAACGAGGUCACCUUCAUCGCCGCCCUGGCCGCCUGCAGCCACUCCGGGCUGGUCGACCGCGGGCUGGAGCUGUUCCGCGGCAUGGAGAGGGACCACGGCGUGAAGCCGACGCCGGACCUCCACGCCUGCGUCGUCGACGUGCUCGGCCGGGCGGGGAGGCUCGACGAGGCGUACAACAUCAUCACCUCCAUGGAGCCCGGCGAGCACCAAGUGUCAGCAUGGAGCAGCCUGCUAGGCGGCUGCCGGCUGCACCGGAACGUGGAGCUCGGCGAGAUCGCUGCCGGGCGGCUCUUCGAGCUGGAGCCCGACGAAGCCAGCCACUACGUGCUCCUCUGCAACAUCUACUCGGCCGCCGGGAUGUGGGAGAAGUCGGUGGCGGUGCGGGCGAGGAUGCGGCGGCAGGGCGUGGCCAAGGAGCCCGGGUGCAGCUGGAUCGAGGUCGACGGCGCGAUCCACCGGUUCAUGGCGGGCGAGUCGGCGCACCCGGCGAGCGCGGAGGUGCACGCGCACAUGGACGCGCUCUGGGAGCGGAUGCGGCGCGAGGGGUACGCGCCGGACACGUCGUGCGUGCUCCACGACGUCGGCGAGGCCGAGAAGGCGGGCAUGCUCCGGUACCACAGCGAGAAGCUGGCCAUCGCCUUCGGGCUGCUGCGGGCGCCGGCCGGGGCCGCCAUCAGGGUGGCCAAGAACCUGAGGGUGUGCAACGACUGCCAUGAGGCGGCCAAGUUCAUGUCCAAGAUGGUUGGGCGGGAGAUUGUGCUCAGGGAUGUCAGGAGGUUCCACCAUUUCCGGGACGGCUCCUGCUCAUGUGGGGACUACUGGUAG
rnacentral:rRNA from 1 species